rnacentral:rRNA from 1 species
UCUAAAAAUAAAAAGGUAAUACCCUCGGGGAAACCCUCAUUCAUUGACGGCCUCUUUUCUAGUCAAAGGAACUUGUUAAUACAUCGAAAUUACCCGUUUAUUUUCCCUUCCCUCUAAAGCUUUUAUACCGUCGUCUUAAGAAAAAACUUAAUAGUAAUCUCCGAAAUUAAUUUAUCAAACAAGUCAGAUCAAGGUGAAGCCCAUAGGCAAGCACUUAGUGAGUUAUUCAUAAAAAAAAUUUAAGGAAAUUUAUACAAAUCUUUCAAUGAAUCAAGAUUUGAAAGUACAUUUUUAUUAAAAAUUCUAGUGGAAUUAGGAAAAAGAGGUGU